AGACUUUGAUUAUGGCUCAGAUUGAACGCUGGCGGCAGGCCUAACACAUGCAAGUCGAGCGGCAGCACGGGAGCUUGCUCCUGGUGGCGAGCGGCGGACGGGUGAGUAAUGCCUAGGAAUCUGCCUGUUAGUGGGGGAUAACUCGGGGAAACUCGAGCUAAUACCGCAUACGUCCUACGGGAGAAAGUGGGGGACCUUCGGGCCUCACGCUAACAGAUGAGCCUAGGUCGGAUUAGCUAGUUGGUGGGGNAAAGGCCUACCAAGGCGACUAUCCGUAGCUGGUCUGAGAGGAUGGUCAGCCACACUGGAACUGAGACACGGCCCAGACUCCUACGGGAGGCAGCAGCUGGCGAAUAUUGGACAAUGGGCGCAAGCCUGAUCCAGCCCAUGCCGCCGUGUGUGAAGAAGGUCUUCCCCA
rnacentral:rRNA from 1 species